GAUGAACGCUGGCGGCGUGCCUAAUACAUGCAAGUCGAGCGAACGGACGAGAAGCUUGCUUCUCUGAUGUUAGCGGCGGACGGGUGAGUAACACGUGGAUAACCUACCUAUAAGACUGGGAUAACUUCGGGAAACCGGAGCUAAUACCGGAUAAUAUUUUGAACCGCAUGGUUCAAAAGUGAAAGACGGUCUUGCUGUCACUUAUAGAUGGAUCCGCGCUGCAUUAGCUAGUUGGUAAGGUAACGGCUUACCAAGGCAACGAUGCAUAGCCGACCUGAGAGGGUGAUCGGCCACACUGGAACUGAGACACGGUCCAGACUCCUACGGGAGGCAGCAGUAGGGAAUCUUCCGCAAUGGGCGAAAGCCUGACGGAGCAACGCCGCGUGAGUGAUGAAGGUCUUCGGAUCGUAAAACUCUGUUAUUAGGGAAGAACAUAUGUGUAAGUAACUGUGCACAUCUUGACGGUACCUAAUCAGAAAGCCACGGCUAACUACGUGCCAGCAGCCGCGGUAAUACGUAGGUGGCAAGCGUUAUCCGGAAUUAUUGGGCGUAAAGCGCGCGUAGGCGGUUUUUUAAGUCUGAUGUGAAAGCCCACGGCUCAACCGUGGAGGGUCAUUGGAAACUGGAAAACUUGAGUGCAGAAGAGGAAAGUGGAAUUCCAUGUGUAGCGGUGAAAUGCGCAGAGAUAUGGAGGAACACCAGUGGCGAAGGCGACUUUCUGGUCUGUAACUGACGCUGAUGUGCGAAAGCGUGGGGAUCAAACAGGAUUAGAUACCCUGGUAGUCCACGCCGUAAACGAUGAGUGCUAAGUGUUAGGGGGUUUCCGCCCCUUAGUGCUGCAGCUAACGCAUUAAGCACUCCGCCUGGGGAGUACGACCGCAAGGUUGAAACUCAAAGGAAUUGACGGGGACCCGCACAAGCGGUGGAGCAUGUGGUUUAAUUCGAAGCAACGCGAAGAACCUUACCAAAUCUUGACAUCCUUUGACAACUCUAGAGAUAGAGCUUUCCCCUUCGGGGGACAAAGUGACAGGUGGUGCAUGGUUGUCGUCAGCUCGUGUCGUGAGAUGUUGGGUUAAGUCCCGCAACGAGCGCAACCCUUAAGCUUAGUCGCCAUCAUUAAGUUGGGCACUCUAAGUUGACUGCCGGUGACAAACCGGAGGAAGGUGGGGAUGACGUCAAAUCAUCAUGCCCCUUAUGAUUUGGGCUACACACGUGCUACAAUGGACAAUACAAAGGGCAGCGAAACCGCGAGGUCAAGCAAAUCCCAUAAAGUUGUUCUCAGUUCGGAUUGUAGUCUGCAACUCGACUACAUGAAGCUGGAAUCGCUAGUAAUCGUAGAUCAGCAUGCUACGGUGAAUACGUUCCCGGGUCU
rnacentral:rRNA from 1 species